rnacentral:tRNA from 1 species
GGGAUUGUGGCUCAGUGGAAGAGUGCUUGUCUACCAUGCAUGAGGCCCUGGGUUCAAACCUCAGCACCA